CGGAGGCAGCAGUGGGGAAUCUUCCGCAAUGGGCGAAAGCCUGACGGAGCAACGCCGCGUGAGUGAUGAAGGCCUUCGGGUUGUAAAACUCUGUCUUCAGGGAAGAAAAAAAUGACGGUACCUGAGGAGGAAGCCCCGGCUAACUACGUGCCAGCAGCCGCGGUAAAACGUAGGGGGCGAGCGUUGUCCGGAAUUACUGGGCGUAAAGGGCGCGUAGGCGGUUUUUUAAGUCAGAGGUGAAAACUACCGGCUCAACCGGUAGCCUGCCUUUGAAACUGAGAGACUUGAGGGCAGGAGAGGGGAGUGGAAUUCCCAGUGUAGCGGUGAAAUGCGUAGAUAUUGGGAGGAACACCAGUGGCGAAGGCGGCUCUCUGGCCUGUUACUGACGCUGAGGCGCGAAAGCGUGGGGAGCGAACGGGAUUAGAUACCCCGGUAGC
rnacentral:rRNA from 1 species